rnacentral:rRNA from 1 species
CACGUAGGGUGCGAGCGUUGUCCGGAAUUAUUGGGCGUAAAGAGCUCGUAGGCGGUCUGUCGCGUCUGCUGUGAAAACUCAGGGCUUAACCCUGAGCUUGCAGUGGGUACGGGCAGACUAGAGUGCGGUAGGGGAGACUGGAAUUCCUGGUGUAGCGGUGGAAUGCGCAGAUAUCAGGAGGAACACCAGUGGCGAAGGCGGUGCUCUGGGCCGGAACUGACGCUGAGGAGCGAAAGCGUGGGGAGCAAACAGG